rnacentral:rRNA from 1 species
CGUUGAUAGGUCGGGUGUGUAAGUGUAGCGAUACAUUGAGCUAACCGAUACUAAUGAACCGUGAGGCUUAACCUUACAACGCCGAAG